CCAAAAUCCAUAAACACAUCUGCCCUGACAGACCCAAUGUUCCUGCCUGCUCCUGUCCCACGGAAAUGAUUUCCAUGUAACUCGACUCCAUCCUAUCCACCUGGUCCAAGCUCUCCCGA